rnacentral:rRNA from 1 species
AAGAGCUUACCAAAGCUAUGAUCAGUAGCCGAGCUGAGAGGCUGGCCGGCCACAUUGGGACUGAGACACGGCCCAGACUCCUACGGGAGGCAGCAGUUGGGAAUAUUGGACAAUGGAGGAAACUCUGAUCCAGUGACGCCGCGUGAAGGAAGAAGGUCUUCGGAUUGUAAACUUAUUUUGUCAGGGAAGAAACAAAUGACUGUACCUGAAGAAAAAGCACCGGCUAACUAC